rnacentral:rRNA from 1 species
CACCGGCAGUUCUAGUGGUCGCAGUUAUUAUUGGGCCUAAAGCGUCCGUAGCCGGUUUAAUAAGUCUCUGGUGAAAUCCUGUAGCUUAACUAUGGGAAUUGCUGGAGAUACUAUUAGACUUGAGAUCGGGAGAGGUUAGAGGUACUCCCAGGGUAGAGGUGAAAUUCUGUAAUCCUGGGAGGACCGCCUGUUGCGAAGGCGUCUAACUGGAACGAUUCUGACGGUGAGGGACGAAAGUUAGGGGC